rnacentral:rRNA from 1 species
GAGAUUGAGAGUUUGAUCCUGGCUCAGAAUGAACGCUGGCGGCGUGCUUUACACAUGCAAGUCGAGCGAGGCGUCCCGCAAGGGGCAGUCGAGCGGCGAACGGGUGAGCAACGCGUGGAUAACCUGCCCUUCAGUGGGGAAUAACCCGGGGAAACUCGGACUAAUACCGCAUUCGACCGAGAGGUGAAAGGGGGCUCGCAAGGGCUCUCGCUGAAGGAGGGGUCCGCGUUCGAUUAGCUAGUUGGUGGGGUAAUGGCCUACCAAGGCGACGAUCGAUAGCCGGCCUGAGAGGGUGAUCGGCCACACUGGAACUGAGACACGGUCCAGACUCCUACGGGAGGCAGCAGUGGGGAAUUUUGCGCAAUGGGCUAACGCCUGACGCAGCAACGCCGCGUGGAGGAUGAAGGUCUUUGGAUUGUAAACUCCUGUCAGCAGGGAAAAAGGGAAGUGACCUAAUACGUCAUUGACUUGAUUGUACCUGCAGAGGAAGCCCCGGCUAACUCUGUGCCAGCAGCCGCGGUAAUACAGAGGGGGCAAGCGUUAUUCGGAAUUAUUGGGCGUAAAGGGCGCGUAGGCGGCUAUUCAAGUGGCGGGUGAAAUCCCUCGGCUUAACCGGGGAACUGCCUGCCAGACUGGAUAGCUUGAGGCCGGGAGAGGUGAGUGGAAUUCCCAGUGUAGCGGUGAAAUGCGUAGAUAUUGGGAGGAACACCAGUGGCGAAGGCGGCUCACUGGACCGGAACUGACGCUGAGGCGCGAAAGCGUGGGGAGCAAACAGGAUUAGAUACCCUGGUAGUCCACGCCGUAAACGAUGAGUGCUUGGUGUAGCGGGUAUCGACCCCUGCUGUGCCGAAGUCAACACAUUAAGCACUCCGCCUGGGGAGUACGGUCGCAAGACUGAAACUCAAAGGAAUUGACGGGGGCCCGCACAAGCGGUGGAGCAUGUGGUUUAAUUCGAAGCAACGCGCAGAACCUUACCUGGGUUUGAACUGCACAGGAAAGUCUCAGAGAUGAGAGCCCCUCUUCGGAGGUCUGUGUAGAGGUGCUGCAUGGCUGUCGUCAGCUCGUGUCGUGAGAUGUUGGGUUAAGUCCCGCAACGAGCGCAACCCUUGUUCACAGUUACUAACGCGUAAAGGCGAGAACUCUGUGGAGACUGCCGGUGAUAAACCGGAGGAAGGUGGGGAUGACGUCAAGUCCUCAUGGCCUUUAUGUCCAGGGCUACACACGUGCUACAAUGGACGGUACAGAGAGUCGCGAGACCGCGAGGUGGAGCUAAUCUCAAAAAGCCGUUCUCAGUUUGGAUUGCACUCUGCAACUCGAGUGCAUGAAGUUGGAAUCGCUAGUAAUCGCGGAUCAGCACGCCGCGGUGAAUACGUUCCCGGGCCUUGUACACACCGCCCGUCACAUCACGAAAGUCGGUUGCACUAGAAGUCGGUGGGCUAACCCGCAAGGGAGGCAGCCGCCUAAAGUGUGAUCGGUAAUUGGGGUGAAGUCGUAACAAGGUAGCCGUAAAUGGGAGUUUGAUCCUGGCUCAGUCGUAACAAGGUAGCCGUAAAUGAGAGUUUGAUCCUGGCUCAGGAAGUAAAAGUCGUAACAAGGUAGCCGUA